CCCCUUAGAGUUUGAUCAUGGCUCAGAUUGAACGCUGGCGGCAUGCUUUACACAUGCAAGUCGAACGGUAACAGGCCGCAGGGUGCUGACGAGUGGCGAACGGGUGAGUAAUGCAUCGGAACGUGCCCAGUCGUGGGGGAUAACGCAACGAAAGCUGCGCUAAUACCGCAUACGAUCUAUGGAUGAAAGCGGGGGACCGUAAGGCCUCGCGCGAUUGGAGCGGCCGAUGUCAUAUUAGGUAGUUGGUGGGGUAAAGGCUCACCAAGCCAACGAUCUGUAGCUGGUCUGAGAGGACGACCACCCACACUGGGACUGAGACACGGCCCACACUCCUACGGGAGGCAGCAGUGGGGAAUUUUGGACAAUGGGCGCAAGCCUGAUCCAGCAAUGCCGCGUGCAAGAAGAAGGCCUUCGGGUUGUAAACUGCUUUUGUACGGAACGAAAAGGCUCUGGUUAAUACCUGGGGCUCAUGACGGUACCGUAAGAAUAAGCACCGGCUAACUACGUGCCAGCAGCCGCGGUAAUACGUAGGGGUGCAAGCGUUAAUCGGAAUUACUGGGCGUAAAGCGUGCGCAGGGUGGUUUUUGAAAAAACAGGCGUGAAAUCCCCGGGCUCAACCUGAGAAUUGCGCUUGUGACUGCAAGGCUGGAGUGCGGCAAAAGGGGGAAAAGAAAUUCCCGGGGGGAACCAUGGAAAUGCCUUAAUAUGGCGGAAGGAACCCCGGUAGGGCGAAGGCACUCCCCUUGAACCUGUACUGACGCUCAUGCACGAAAGGCGGUGGGGGAGCAAACAAGGAUUAGAUACCGCUGGUACUCCACGCCCUAAACGAUGUCCAACUUGUGUUGUGUGUGAGACGCGUCUUGCCUGUUCAGUACGAAGCUUACGGCGAUGAGUCGACGCCUGGGAGAGUACGGCCGCUAGGAUUGAUCUCAAGUAUCGACGCGUGCCAGCGGAUGAGAUGCAUUGUGAUUCUAAUUACGGA
rnacentral:rRNA from 1 species